CAAUUUCAUUAUUUAAUUUAGUUUUACGAAGUGCCAAAUACAUGUUUCCUUUAUCAAUCGCAAAUAAAUUCCCAUCUAAUUCGUAAAAAAAUUUAAUUUUUUUUUUUUAAAAAAGAAAAAACUCUUCAAUGCUCCAAUUUUUUUUUUAAAAAAAUCAUCUUCUAUUCUUCUCCAUAUGCAUUUCAACGUCAAGAAUUAAAUUGCAGAGUCACUCUCAAAUAAAAAAUUUCCCACAAUAUUCGUUUAUUAUCCUCCUCUCUUCUCUUAAACAUUGACUCAUUGAGUACAAAGCUAAUCCUCCGAAAAGGAGUCCAUUGUUAAUAAGUAAUUGAAGAAAGGAAAUGGAGAAACCAGAUAGAUAAAUUCAAUUUUCAAAGGAAAGGAGAAAAGAUUGUUAUUUACCCAGAUAAAUAUGGGUUAUUGGAAUUCAGUUGAUGGUAUGGUUGGCUGACUUGGGUCAUUGUUGGAUCGGAGAAUUUGAAAGAAUAUAUGGAAGCUUGAUGUUCCUCCCAAGGUUUGUGUUUUUAUAUGGAGAUACUGUACUGGUGCCUUACCUACAAAUAAGGGGCUGCAAAAACAUAUUAAGAGCAUCUCGCCACUGUGUCAAUAGCUCAACACUGCUAUAGAUAUGAGGAGAUGGAGCUUCAUUUGAUAUGGAAGUGCUGCUAUGCAGAAUGCAUGUUGGAUUGCUCAGGGCUUGGGGGAUUGUCCGAACGUCAUAAGCUUGAUUGAUUGGGUUGAUUGGUGGCUAUUUAAGCUAAAUAAAGAUGAUAGGGAUGCUGCUGCAGUUUUGGCGUAGGGAAAUUGGAACAGGAGAAACGCAGUCGUGGAAGUGUUAUGAGGCACCCUGCAGAGGUUGCAGGGGCUUUUGUGUCUCUUCUGGCAGCAUACGUACAGGUGAGAGAGAUGGGUAUAAGCAACAAAAAGACACUUGAAAGUCAUUGUUAGCAUGUAGUGAAGCUAAUUAAUCAUAAGCAGAGUGAUAUUGAGCAAGGAUUCAUUUUGGUGCACUGCUGCAUUGCCAGAAGAUUAAUCACGAUAUGUGAUGGUAUUAAGAAGCCUCUCAUCCUAAUACGAAGUAGUUUUUAUCACAGAGUCUUUUUUUGCUCAUUUCAGGGUUGUGGUUAUCCAUUGGACAUCAUUAUUUGUAGUGCUUUGGGUGUUGAUAUGUAUGAUUGUGUUUACUCCACCUGCACUGCUCGUUUUGGUACGGCCUCGGCAAACUUAUUUUGUAAAAUUCUAUUGGGCAGGGCAUACAAAAACUAAAUCACUAAGGCCAAGGCUGAUGAUACUCGUCCUAUUGAUCCUUCCUGUGCUUGCAUGGUAAUGCCACUAAAUAACCAACUUCCUAGCUACUCUGCCCUUGAAUUAUAGGUCACAUUUGAUCAGACGUCAUUUCUAGGGGCUAGGGAUUUGAAUAUUUGAUGAGCUAAAGCACCUUAACAAUCCUUCAUUUUUAAAUUUGACAUAUUUACCAUACCAGUUUAGCUCUUUGUCUAGGGUAUCAAUAAGAGUACAAGAGUAACAUGGGAAAGUUUAAAUUCAUCAAAUGACCAAGAGAGUAAUUUUAUUAAAAGAAAAAAAAAAAAAAAUAUUUGUAGCUACUAAACCUGGGGGAUGUCCUUAUACUGUAGGCCGUCCAGACAUACACAAGAGCUUAUAUUCAUUGUCAUGUUACAAAAGACACAGUAGGCUCACAACUUACAUGAUGAAGGAACAUGUCUUGGUAGUUUUUCUAGAUUAAUGUACAAUUUCUACUCAUAAAGUUUUUGUUGUGGAAUUUUUCCAGCUGAGUAUAGGUGUUCAUACAUCUAUGGUUGAACAGCGCAUCCCAGAGUAUGUAACACAAUUUAUUUUUUUUGCUAGCCUGUUUACUCCCCCAACGAGUUUGUCACUUAGUUGUUCUUGAUGAACGCAUCAUACUGCUGUUUUAAGAUAUCUCAUCUUUAUUAGGAUUUUCUGCAGGUUUGUGUGCAAUUAUUUAUAGAAAAUGGCAAGUGAACUGAAAUAUAUUUCUUUCUUUUUGUUUAGAGUAAAAUUCAAAUGACAUUGGAAUAUGGAAAAAUUGAUAUCUCUAUGCUCUUGGUGUACCUGAGUGGGUUUGCAAUACCAUGGAGGUUGCUGAAUGUUUUUUCAUGCUGUGGAUGAUCGUUGUCACUUUCCAAGCAGGUUCUUAAUAUAUAAUCAUAUGCUCGACAGGGCGACAGGUGAUGCACUGCAGCUUGCAAUCUUAUUGGAUUUAUGUGCCAAUUUUUUAACAAGUAUCAUACUUAGGAAUUAGCUAGACAACACAUAUUAUUGCCACACAAAACCCCUAGUUUAGUGCGGUUGCACCAUUUUCACUUCACCAUCCUUUUUCCAAAAUAUGCAAUCUUUGUAAACUUUUGGUAGUGAAGCCACAGAAGAGGAUGUUGAAAUGAAAAAAAGAACUAACAGAUGGAUUUAUGUGGAAAUUCUUUACUAUAAGAUAUAGCGUUCUUAAAAUUUCUCUUAAUUCUGUACUUACACCACACGAGGCAAAAUCUUGUUCUUGGAUCAUUUUAACAUUUAAAUUAAAUUAAUUGAUGUAAUAUAAUGCUGUUAAAAACUGACGGCAAUUCGAAUUAUUAAACUUUCUCUUGGCUGUGGAUUAUUUAAA